rnacentral:rRNA from 1 species
GAUGAACGCUGGCGGCGUGCCUGAUACAUGCAAGUCGAGCGAACGGACGAGAAGCUUGCUUCUCUGAUGUUAGCGGCGGACGGGUGAGUAACACGUGGAUAACCUACCUAUAAGACUGGGAUAACUUCGGGAAACCGGAGCUAAUACCGGAUGAUAUUUUGAACCGCAUGGUUCAAAAGUGAAAGACGGUCUUGCUGUCACUUAUAGAUGGAUCCGCGCUGCAUUAGCUAGUUGGUAAGGUAACGGCUUACCAAGGCAACGAUGCAUAGCCGACCUGAGAGGGUGAUCGGCCACACUGGAACUGGGACACGGUCCAGACUCCUACGGGAGGCAGCAGUAGGGAAUCUUCCGCAAUGGGCGAAAGCCUGACGGAGCAACGCCGCGUGAGUGAUGAAGGUCUUCGGAUCGUAAAACUCUGUUAUUAGGGAAGAACAUAUGUGUAAGUAACUGUGCACAUCUUGACGGUACCUAAUCAGAAAGCCACGGCUAACUACGUG